rnacentral:lncRNA from 1 species
GGGUGUUUUGAGAUAUCCCUAGCUCCUGAGACGUUUUAGGAAGUCAGCCAGGAGCCCUGUCUGAGCUCAUGGCAGGCCUGUAGGGCUGAUCAGGAAAUGUCACCUCUUUCUGUGUGCAGCUUUUAUGUAGAUGAAACUUGGGUUUUAUUCUGCAAAGAAAACAGCCAAUGUACCUUUGCUAAAAAUGGCUGGAGCACAGUGGCUAGACAAAUUUAGCACAGAAUGUGAGAUGUUAUAAAAGCAAACACUUAGAGGUUUGUGGACACAGAGAGUGUUGCUCAGCAAUGACAAGAAAACAGAAGGAGAGGACAUUUCACUUCCCUGUCCUGGCCCUCGCUCUGCCUCCAACCACGCCGCAGGCCUCUCUUCUGCACUUGAGUUUCCUGCCCCUUAAAUAUCGCUUUACCAGGAAAGGAGAACACCUUCACCCAAAGGACCAGCGGAGAUGUGAGGACAUCUGACUGCAGGCCACACAGCUGAGUUGGCAGGGAAGGCAGCUGGUGGCCACUUCCUGCCUCACCCUGCAGGAAGGAGGUACCCAGGAAAAGGACGUUAGAGCUGUAACCACUAUAGAUGGUUCCUGUUCCUCUCCAGGGACAGCAGCCUCCUCAUGUGGACUACUUCUGUAGGCCAGAUGGGGGAUAUCUAAGCACACAGACAGGAUUGAAAGCGGUCCAUCUGCAC